UAAAUAGCUAGGCUGCUUCUUAAGCGGUCGUCAGCUUCUUAGAGGGACUGUUGCGCGAUUAGCCAACGGAAGUUUGAGGCAAUAACAGGUCUGUGAUGCCCUUAGAUGUU
rnacentral:rRNA from 1 species